UCGGUUUUGUAUACUGGUCACUGAGCAAAGGUCAGUGUCAGUGAUACUGGUCCUAACUAACCUUUUUUUGCUAUCGUGUUAGUCGUGAACUACCGUUUUUAUUGCGAAAUACCGUUUGCUGCUAACUAACGUUUACUGCUCCCGUUUGAAGUGAUCUACAUUUUUAGUCUGAUCGAGAAUUUCCUGGCAGGUUCCUUUUGUUUAUACCAUCGCUGAUUAACGCCAAUGCAAUCAGGUGGAAAAAUACAUUUGUAAUCAUUUUCUCAGAUAAACACUGCAUUUCUUAAAAAUCUUUUUGUCAAAAGCCAGAACAUCAAAAUGACGAACUCGAAAUUAUUCUUGCCGUAUUCAUGUCGUCUAGUCUGCAUAUGGUUGGUCACUGUAGCCAGUAUCUCACUGAGUAUCACCUAUCUCAACUCAAUGCCAAGUUAUCUUCCCAAGUAUGAUGACAUAAAGCUGACCGAGAAUGCAGAGAAGGAGGUGUACAGUAGAAAGGAGUGCGAUCCUUGUCCACCCCAGGAACCAUGCCCUUCUGGUCGUAAUCUCACGCGUAAUUUUAAGGCAAGUGCACUUCACUUCAUCUUUUUUUUCACUGGCGUACAGACGGGGAUGGGCCUUGGGGGUCAUGGAUCAUCCAAACAUUUUCAUGAGACAAAAAAGGGGAGG